rnacentral:rRNA from 1 species
UACGGAGGGUGCGAGCGUUGUCCGGAAUCAUUGGGCGUAAAGGGCGCGUAGGUGGCCCGGUCAGCGUGCGGUGAAAGCUCGGGGCUCAACCCCGAGUCGGCCGUGCGAACUGCUGGGCUUGAGCACUGUAGAGGCAGGCGGAAUUCCGGGUGUAGCGGUGGAAUGCGUAGAGAUCCGGAAGAACACCGGUGGCGAAGGCGACUCUUUGGCCUGUAACUGACGCUGAGGCGCGAAAGCGUGGGGAGCAAACAGG